rnacentral:rRNA from 1 species
CUGGAGUACUCGAGUGGCGAACGGGUGAGUAACACGUGGGUAAUCUGCCCUGCACUCUGGGAUAAGCCUGGGAAACUGGGUCUAAUACUGGAUAUGACCUUUCUCCUUAUGGGGUUUGGUGGAAAGUUUUUCGGUGUAGGAUGAGCCCGCGGCCUAUCAGCUUGUUGGUGGGGUGAUGGCCUACCAAGGCGACGACGGGUAGCCGGCCUGAGAGGGUGUACGGCCACAUUGGGACUGAGAUACGGCCCAG